UUUCAAGUCCGAUGCUAAAGACUGGGGCUCAACCCCAGGGGUGCGUUGGAUACUGUGAGGCUAGACGGUCGGAGGGGGUAGCGGAAUUUCCGGAGUAGCGGUGAAAUGCGCAGAUACCGGAAGGAACGCCAAUAGCGAAGGCAGCUAUCUGGACGACUUGUGACGCUGAGGCGCGAAAGCGUGGGGAGCAAACCGGAUUAGAUACCCGGGUAGUCCACGCCCUAAACCGUGAGUGCUGGGUGUCCGGCUUCUGCUGGGUGCCGUAGCUAACGCGCUAAGCACUCCGCCUGGGAAGUACGCACGCAAGUGUGAAACUCAAAGGAAUUGACGGGGGCCCGCACAAGCGGUGGAGCAUGUGGUUUAAUUCGAAGCGACGCGAAGAACCUUACCAGGCCUUGACAUGCCCGGAACCCCUCUGAAAGGAGGGGGUGCCCGCAAGGGAGCCGGGACACAGGUGCUGCAUGGCCGUCGUCAGCUCGUGUCGUGAGAUGUUGGGUUAAGUCCCGCAACGAGCGCAACCCCUAUCCCUAGUUGCCAGCAGUUCGGCUGGGCACUCUAUGGAGACUGCCUGCGAAAGCAGGAGGAAGGCGGGGAUGACGUCUGGUCCGCAUGGCCCUUACGGCCUGGGCGACACACGUGCUACAAUGCCAAGGACAGAGCGCUGCUACCUCGCGAGAGGACGCCAAUCGCAAAAACCUUGGCUCAGUUCGGAUUGGAGUCUGCAACUCGACUCCAUGAAGC
rnacentral:rRNA from 1 species